AACGUAGGACGCAAGCGUUAUCCGGAGUUACUGGGCGUAAAGGGCAGGCAGGCGGGUCGAUAAGUCGGAUGUGAAAUCUCCCUGGCUUAACCGGGAGAGUGCAUUUGAGACUGUCAACCUGGAGGGCAGCAGAGGAGCGUGGAAUUCCGGGUGGAGUGGUGAAAUGCGUAGAGAUCCGGAGGAACACCAGAGGCGAAAGCGGCGCUCUGGGCUGCACCUGACGCUGAACUGCGAAAGCCAGGGGAGCAAACGGG
rnacentral:rRNA from 1 species